UACAGAGGUCCCAAGCGUUGUUCGGAUUCACUGGGCGUAAAGGGUGCGUAGGUGGUGAGGUAAGUCGGAUGUGAAAUCUCCAGGCUCAACCUGGAAAUGGCAUUGGAAACUACCUUGCUAGAGGGUUUGAGGGGGGACUGGAAUACUUGGUGUAGCAGUGAAAUGCGUAGAUAUCAAGUGGAACACCAGUGGCGAAGGCGAGUCCCUGGAAGAUACCUGACACUGAGGCACGAAAGCUAGGGGAGCAAACAGG
rnacentral:rRNA from 1 species